rnacentral:rRNA from 1 species
ACCUUGGGCGCAGCAGUGAGGAAUAUUGGUCAAUGGCCGAGAGGCUGAACCAGCCAAGUCGCGUGAGGGAUGACGGCCCUACGGGUUGUAAACCUCUUUUGUCGGGGAGCAAGACCCGCCUCGUGCAGGCGGAGCGAAAGUACCCGUAGAAAAAGCAUCGGCUAACUCCGUGCCAGCAGCCGCGGUAAUACGGAGGAUGCGAGCGUUAUCCGGAUUUAUUGGGUUUAAAGGGUGCGCAGGCGGACCAUCAAGUCAGCGGUAAAAUCGUGGGGCCCAACCCCAUCCCGCCGUUGAAACUGGCGGUC